rnacentral:lncRNA from 1 species
AGAGGCCGCGGGGAGGAACCCCCCUGUUGCUUCCGCCUCCCGGGGCGCAGGCGCUGGGCGCGGCGGGGAAGGGACUCGGCACUGGGGAAACCCGGAGUUUCAGCCAGGGUCCCAGGGCUUCCUUCCCGGGUUCCUGCCGGAAAACUUUUCUCCUCCGCCCGGAAGCCUCGAUGGGGCAGUGAGAUCGCGGGGCGAGCCUGUCCUGCUCUGGCCUGCCCUGUGCUCAGGAAGCUGGCGGUCCCCCUCAGUGGAUCUUCACCCACAGGGACAACCUGCUGCAGACCGGGUAGGAGGGAGGCAGGGGCCUCUUCCCCUCUCCUUCCUGGCCUGGCCCCACACCCACCAGUGUUGGUUUCACUCUGUGGCUACGAUUCUUCCUGGGUGCCCUUUCCAUUGCACAACUCCUCUAGGCUCUACGAACAGAACUUCUCCCCGCCCCCAAGCCUCUUAGGGUGAGACAUGUUGUCGGUCUGCCAUUGUUGCUGGUCCCUAAAUAGCAGCACCCUUUGAAGGAUCCUUGAACCAUGACCACACCGCAACAAAGAGUCCUUCAUCAAACUCGCUUCCAAAUCCCCUCCCAAGAACACCUUCAGUUUCCUGCAAGAACCCUGACUGCUGAAGCCGGAUUUUGACUAAGCUUCUACCUUGUAAACCGUGACUGUGGGAUUGGGGUCGAGGCGCAAUCAGAGGUUGUAUAAGGCACUAGAUCAAGGCUGCCUGUCUGUCAGGAGUGUCUGCUUUAUUCAGUAGUAAAUGUGAAUUGUUUUUCAUUCUGUUGUGAAUACUGUUGGUUGACAAUGCAGCAGCCAUGCCCUCUCUAUCCUUGCUGGUUCAGGUAUCCACUCUGUGUGGCUAAGGGUAAACUCUGUCUCUUGAGAAAAU